rnacentral:rRNA from 1 species
GACGAACGCUGGCGGCAUGCCUAAUACAUGCAAGUCGAGCGGAGUGGAUGAGAAGCUUGCUUCUCUGACGCUUAGCGGCGGACGGGUGAGUAACACGUAGGCAACCUGCCUUUCAGUUUGGGAUAACUUCCGGAAACGGAUGCUAAUACCGAAUACAUCAUCUUCUGGCAUCAGAGAAUGAGGAAAGACGGCGCAAGCUGUCACUGAGAGAUGGGCCUGCGGCGCAUUAGCUAGUUGGUGGGGUAAUGGCCCACCAAGGCGACGAUGCGUAGCCGACCUGAGAGGGUGAACGGCCACGCGGGGACUGAGGCACGGCCCAGAAUCCUACGGGAGGCAGAAGUAGGGAUUCUUCCACAAUGGGCGAAAGCCUGAUGGAGCAAUGCCGCGUGCGUGAUGAAGGUUUUCGGAUCGUAAAGCUCUGUUGCCAGGGAAGAACGUCCGGGUGAGUAACUGCACCCGGAGUGACGGUACCUGAGAAGAAAGCCCCGGCUAACUACGUGCCAGCCGCCGCCGUAA